rnacentral:rRNA from 1 species
AGAUUGCAGGCUGCAACUCGCCUGCAUGAAGUCGGAAUUGCUAGUAAUCGUAGGUCAGCAUACUACGGUGAAUACGUUCCCGGGCCUUGUACACACCGCCCGUCAAACCAUGAGAGUCAGCAACGCCCGAAGUCAGUGACCUAACCGAAAGGAAGGAGCUGCCGAAGGCGGGGCAGGUAACUGGGGUGAAGUCGUAACAAGGUAUC